UGCCUGCCGGCUCCGGGCUUUCGUGGUCGUCCUCGGGGUAAGCCUCCACCGCUGCAGACUGCGUCCUGCCGCCCAGGGGCGCCUUUGUUCGACUCCAGCCUUGUUUGCCUCACGCCUUAGCUUCCGGUUUCGAAUAUCCCAGCACCUCAGGGUUCUCAAGCCCAGUCCCUCAGUCAGUGCAGUUCUGCCUCCCCGUCUGUGCCUCUCUGAGGACCUGAAGCAAACGAGCGAACCAGACGCUCUUCGCAGCGGGACCCUCUCCCCUUCCCGCCGUUCAGUCACGCGACCUCACCUGAGUGUAUUCCCUGGACUUUAUCCUCAUACACAGGUGUCUGAGUGGAGGCACCUUUUUUCCUAGAGAAAUCCUACUUUCCAUCUGGGAUUGGGGAACUGAGGUUGCUCUCAGCCCUUGGAAGCCGCUUCCUCAGCAUGAAAGUUGGGCCCAAACUUCGAGGUGAAAGCAGCAGUCCCUUCACCCCCGGCUCCUCUUGGCCCCCUCCCCCGGCCCGGGCUUUACCAUUUUUCAGCUAAAGUUUUGAGCUGGCCUCGCAGCUGAUGAGGUAACGUCAGAACUAUGUCUUCCGAGGGCUUUUAAGGGCGGAACUAACCUGGACGUGUCAGAGGGAGGCCUGUUUCUGGCAGGGUCCAAACCUCCAGGGGAUGAAGUGAUGGGCACCCACUGCCUCUAACCUGCUGCUACAAUGAACAUCUUUGUGACUGUCCCCUUAUGAACCUGGGCUCAAGUUGCUCUGGGAUGCAUCCCUGGAAUGGAUUACUGGAUCAUAUUCAUUUCCGGUACUUUCUGAAAAACACCACAACCUCCAAGGGAUUGGGACCAGCUUCCUUGUAAUGGCCAACACUGCACAUUUAGACUACUUGCCUGAGACCCUGAAAGCAUUUGAAUUUUUGACUCCUGGAUUACUGAGUUAGACUGAUCGAUGGCACUUGAAGAGUAAGAAGCAAAUGCUCACUGGGGUCUCCUUGGGAGCCAAGUCAACUUUGACUCCCUAGUGACCAGCUUCAUAUCUAGAAUAAUACAUGUGAUCAAUAAUUAUUUCUUGAAUGUAUGAGAUAUGAAUGAAUCAAGAUAUUUUUAGAGUUGGAAUCAUGGAUCAAGAGGAGGAAAAGUAGUU